rnacentral:rRNA from 1 species
GGCGGACGGGUGGGUAAUGUAUAGUUAAUCUGCCCUUUAGAGGGGGAUAACAGUUGGAAACGACUGCUAAUACCCCAUACUCCUUUUACAUUAAUUGUAAUUGGGAAAUGUUUUUUCGCUAAAGGAUGAGACUAUAUGGUAUCAGGUAGUUGGUGGGGUAAGAGCCUACCAAGCCAAUGACGCCUAGCUGGUCUGAGAGGAUGAUCAGCCACACUGGAACUGAGACACGGUCCAG